rnacentral:rRNA from 1 species
UACGUAGGGUGCGAGCGUUGUCCGGAAUUAUUGGGCGUAAAGAGCUUGUAGGCGGUCUGUCGCGUCUGCUGUGAAAAUCCGGGGCUCAACCCCGGACUUGCAGUGGGUACGGGCAGACUAGAGUGCGGUAGGGGAGACUGGGAUUCCUGGUGUAGCGGUGAAAUGCGCAGAUAUCAGGAGGAACACCGGUGGCGAAGGCGGGUCUCUGGGCCGUAACUGACGCUGAGGAGCGAAAGCAUGGGGAGCGAACAGG